AAAAAACAAAGAAAAAAGAAAAAAAAAAAGUUUCUUCAACCUCUUGUUCUUCUAGGUAUUUUUGUGGCUUUGUAAAGCUUUGGUAUCACUAUCUAAGCCUUUUGUUCACAAAUCACAAAUAUGGGGCCUCACCAUUUCAUUACUCAGGUAAACUCAAAAAUACAUUUCAAUAUUAUUAUUAUUAGUAGUAUUAAUGUACUAAAACUAAACCCCAUUUUCUUUUUUCCCCAUAUGGGUAUUUGAAUGGCUGAUGACAUGUUGCACUUCAUGUUUCAGAAACUUUAUUGUUGAUGUAGUUGUUCUUGUUAUAUAUUUCCAAUCUAAAAACGCAUAUAUUAUAUAUAUAUAUAUAUAUCUUUUGUUUUGUUUCAUUUGUUUUGAUUCUUACAUUGCACUCACAUCCAAAAAUAAGAGACCGCAACAAUGUGUCGUGUAGUUUUGAAACAGUUGAUGUAUGAUAGAAAAAAGUUUCAAAAGAAUCUCCAUAAGAGACAUGCAAAUUUUUUAAUCACUCAUUGAUUAUUUUAAGAUAUUGUAGCGACUUCACGAAAUGUAUAUUUUGUGGGUAGAGGAAGAAAUAGAAUCGUAAUUCAAAAUUUAGAGAAAAUCAACAUAGUCACAAUUAACUAAUUUAAAAGAUAACGGGAGAUUUGUUAAAUUUGAAUGGUAGGAGAUAGAAAAAGUGAUAUUUCUUUGAAGUAAAUUGAAAAGGAUCUCAAACAACAUAACAUACAUUUGUUUAGAUGAAUAAUAAAAGGGGAAAACUAAAUCUUCGACUUUUUGGUAAAUGAAUAUAUUUUAAUCAAAACUAAUCUACAAUAAGUUUUAAGUUUACAUUAAACACUUAGAAAAUUUAGACCUCAUUUUAUAACUAAAAUUUAAAUUCUAAACCAAAUUUAAAAAAUAAAAUCAAGUUAGAACAUAGGGAAGGAGACAAAAGAUGAAUGAUGGAAAAUAAGGUAAGAAAUGCACUACAUGGCAGAGGUUAGUGUUAGAUGAUUUUUUUGUCUGUUUAACCAAAAGAAAAAAGAAAAAAAAAAUCUGUGUAAUUUUGAUCCGUACGAUAUAAGAUGUCCUUUGGCUAAGAUUCCCAUGUCUUGUCAUGUUAGUUUUUGGUGACUGUAAACAUCUCAUCUUGUCCUAUGCCUCACUUAUACAUAAAUACAUUAUAUCAAUAUUUAGGUUUACCAUAAAUUAUACCUAUUUUUAUGCAUUCAUUUCAAUUCAAAGAAUAAAAUAUUUUUUAAAACUAGACAAAUUUGCGAUAUGAAAAUUUGUGAUUGAACAUUUAGAUAAGUUCGAGAUGCAUUUAUUUAUAUAUAUAUAUAUAUAAUUGAAUUUUGCAUGUGCUAACUUCGUUAUCUCUUUCUUUCAUCCACCUAACAUACCUUUAUUUUGUUGUGCUUUUAUUUAGAACUUCUUUUGCAUAACUUUUUACAUCUUUAGAUUGAGAUUCUUUGCCAUAUUUUCUAUUAUGAUUUGUCCUUUUUACAUAUAUUCAUGUUACUUUGUCAUUGUGUACACUUUAAAAUUGGUACUAACGUCAGCUCUAAAUUUUUAUGUAAUUGUUGCUCAAAAUAAUGCUAACCAAAUGACUAUGAUAUAACUAUUGGACAAAGACUGACUGUGUGGUACUCCAUGUGCUAAAAAGAAGUUGAUUGUUAGGACAAAAUAGAGGAGCAAACAUGCCCUACUUUUGAAUAAUGUAUGAAAUCUCUCUCAUAGACAACGUCAAUGUAUUUUAUUGAUUAUUUACCUCUCGUUUAGUAAUUA